GCGAGGUGGAGCGAAUCUCCAAAAAUUAGUCCCAGUUCAGAUUGCAGGCUGCAACUCGCCUGCAUGAAGUCGGAAUUGCUAGUAAUCGUGGAUCAGCAUGCCACGGUGAAUACGUUCCCGGGCCUUGUACACACCGCCCGUCACACCAUGGGAGUCGGUAACACCCGAAGCCUGUAGUCUAACCGCAAGGAGGACGCAGUCGAAGGUGGGAUUGAUGACUGGGGUGAAGUCGUAACAAGGUAUC
rnacentral:rRNA from 1 species